AAUAGCAUGAUUAUGAAGCAUGAAUUUUAUUAUUUUUUCAUCUAUGUAUAUGUAUGCUUUAAGAAAAAGAUAUAAUGAUUUCAAAGGCUCUCAGAUGGCUAUGAAUGAAUCUCUUCGAGAAGGUCGACAUCCGGAGCUAGCAUCCACAUGAAAUAUGGCCCUGCCAGCGGGUAUAAAGUUGGCACAUGAAUUAAGAACUCUGUCGAUUAAGAAACAUGGCCC
rnacentral:lncRNA from 1 species